AUGAUUAUACUUUACAGGUCCAUUUUUGUAGUAUAUCUUAACAGACUCUUUACCUAAAGUAGGAGUCGAUGAAACCACGAUGAUGAGGU